CGUCGCGUCGGACGGGAUGCGGCAGCCCGCGUCCUCCAUGAGGGCGCGCACAUCCUCCAGAUCGUGUUCGAACGCGUCGUC
rnacentral:tRNA from 2 species